rnacentral:rRNA from 1 species
UGAACUUAAGCAUAUCAAUAAGCGGAGGAAAAGAAACCAACAGGGAUUGCCUUAGUAACGGCGAGUGAAGCGGCAACAGCUCAAAUUUGAAAGCUGGCCCUUUUAGGGUCCGCGUUGUAAUUUGUAGAGGAUGAUUCGGCGAGGGCUCCCGCCUAAGUCCCCUGGAACGGGGCGUCAUAGAGGGUGAGAAUCCCGUAUGCGGUGGGCUGCCUUAGCCAUGUGAAUCUCCUUCGACGAGUCGAGUUGUUUGGGAAUGCAGCUCUAAAUGGGAGGUAAAUUUCUUCUAAAGCUAAAUACCGGCCAGAGACCGAUAGCGCACAAGUAGAGUGAUCGAAAGAUGAAAAGCACUUUGGAAAGAGAGUUAAAAAGUACGUGAAAUUGUUGAAAGGGAAGCGCUUGCAACCAGACUUGUCCGCAGUUGCUCAGCCGGUCUCCUGACCGGCGUACUCUUCUGCGGCCAGGCCAGCAUCAGUUCGGGCGGUCGGAUAAAGACCUCGGGAAUGUAGCUCCUCUCGGGGAGUGUUAUAGCCCGGGGUGGAAUGCGGCCAGCCUGGACUGAGGAUCUCGCUUCGGCAAGGAUGCUGGCGUAAUGGUUGUAAGCGGCCCGUCUUGAAACACGGACCAAGGAGUCUAACAUCUAUGCGAGUGUUUGGGUGUCAAACCCAUACGCGUAAUGAAAGUGAACGGAGGUGGGAACCCGCAAGGGCGCACCAUCGGCCGAUCCUGAUGUCUUCGGAUGGAUUUGAGCAAGAGCAUAGCUGUUGGGACCCGAAAGAUGGUGAACUAUGCCUGAAUAGGGUGAAGCCAGAGGAAACUCUGGUGGAGGCUCGCAGCGGUUCUGACGUGCAAAUCGAUCGUCAAAUUUGGGUAUAGGGGCGAAAGACUAAUCGAACCAUCUAGUAGCUGGUUCCUGCCGAAGUUU